AUUGUACUCCUUCCGUUCGGAAUUACUUGUCGCACAAAUGGAUGUAUCUAGACGUAUUUUAGUUUUAGAUACAUCCAUUUUCAAAAUAAGUAAUUUCGAACGAAGGGAGUAUGUA
rfam:Triticum aestivum genome assembly, contig: Triticum_aestivum_CS42_TGACv1_scaffold_177475_2DS